UGGGGAAUUUUGGACAAUGGGGGAAACCCUGAUCCAGCCAUCCCGCGUGUGCGAUGAAGGCCUUCGGGUUGUAAAGCACUUUUGGCAGGAAAGAAACGUCAUGGGUUAAUACCCCGUGAAACUGACGGUACCUGCAGAAUAAGCACCGGCUAACUACGUGCCAGCAGCCGCGGUAAUACGUAGGGUGCAAGCGUUAAUCGGAAUUACUGGGCGUAAAGCGUGCGCAGGCGGUUCGGAAAGAAAGAUGUGAAAUCCCAGAUCUCAACUUUGGAACUGCAUUUUUAACUACCGGGCUAGAGUGUGUCAGAGGGAGGUGGAAUUCCGCGUGUAGCAGUGAAAUGCAUAGAUAUGCGGAGGAACACCGGUGGCGAAGGCAGCCUCCUGGGAUGACACUGACGCUCAUGCACGAAAGCGUGGGGAGCAAACAGG
rnacentral:rRNA from 1 species